AUUGAACGCUGGCGGCAUGCCUAACACAUGCAAGUCGAGCGGUGAAACCGCCUCCGGGCGGACAUGAAGCGGCGAACGGGUGAGUAACACGUGACCGACCUGCCCCCCGCCCAGGGACAGCCCCCCGAAAGGGGGAUUAAUACCUGGUACUCCGGAAGCGGCGCAUGCCGCGUCCGGGAAAGCUUUCGCGGCGGGGGAUGGGGUCGCGGCCCAGCAGGUAGACGGCGGGGCAGAGGCCCACCGUGCCGACGACGGGUAGCCGGGUUGAGAGACCGACCGGCCACAUGGGGACUGAGAUACGGCCCAGACUCCUACGGGAGGCAGCAGUGGGGAAUUUUGCGCAAUGGGGGCAACCCUGACGCAGCAACGCCGCGUGCGGGACGAAGGCGUCCGCGUCGUAAACCGCUUUCAGCGGGGAACACUUCAACGAGGGUACCCGCAGAAGAAGCCCCGGCUAAAUACGUGCCAGCAGCCGCCGUAA
rnacentral:rRNA from 1 species